AGAGUUUGAUCCUGGCUCAGAAUCAACGCUGGCGGCGCGCCUAACACAUGCAAGUCGAACGAGAAAGUGGAGCAAUCCAUGAGUACAGUGGCGUACGGGUGAGUAACACGUGGGUGAUCUACCUUUUAGUGAGGAAUAACCGAGGGAAACUUUGGCUAAUACCGCAUAAGCCCGAGAGGGGAAAGUCGAAAGACGCUGAAAGAGGAGCCCGCGGCCGAUUAGCUAGUUGGUGAGGUAAGAGCCCACCAAGGCAGAGAUCGGUAGCCGGCCUGAGAGGGCACACGGCCACACUGGCACUGAAACACGGGCCAGACUCCUACGGGAGGCAGCAGUGGGGAAUCUUGCACAAUGGGGGAAACCCUGAUGCAGCGACGCCGCGUGAGCGAUGAAGCCCUUCGGGGUGUAAAGCUCUUUCGUCAGGGAAGAUAGUGACGGUACCUGGAGAAGCAGCUGCGGCUAACUACGUGCCAGCAGCCGCGGUAAUACGUAGGCAGCAAGCGUUGUUCGGAGUUACUGGGCGUAAAGGGUGUGUAGGCGGUUCUUUAAGUUUGGUGUGAAAUCUCCCGGCUCAACUGGGAGGGUGCGCCGAAUACUGAGGGACUAGAGUACGGGAGAGGAAAGUGGAAUUCCUGGUGUAGCGGUGAAAUGCGUAGAUAUCAGGAGGAACACCGGUGGUGUAGACGGCUUUCUGGACCGUAACUGACGCUGAGACACGAAAGCGUGGGUAGCAAACAGGAUUAGAUACCCUAGUAGUCC
rnacentral:rRNA from 1 species